UGAGACCAUAAUGUUGAACUCAAAUCCUGAAACAGUAUCCACAGAUUAUGAUACAAGCGAUAGGCUGUACUUUGAACCUCUCACAAUCGAGGAUGUUCUCAAUGUUAUCGACCUUGAGAAACCUGAUGGCAUAAUAGUGCAAUUUGGUGGUCAAACUCCUCUGAAACUUGCUCUCCCGAUCAAACAUUAUUUGGAUAAGCACAUGCCCAUGAGCUUGAGCGGAGCGGGACCUGUUCGCAUCUGGGGUACAUCACCUGACUCCAUUGACGCUGCUGAAGACAGAGAGAGGUUCAAUGCAAUUCUCGACGAGCUGAAAAUUGAGCAGCCCAAGGGAGGCAUUGCAAAGAGCGAAGCUGAUGCAUUAGCCAUAGCAAAGGAGGUAGGCUACCCAGUUGUGGUAAGACCUUCUUACGUUUUAGGUGGACGAGCAAUGGAGAUCGUUUAUGAUGACAGUAGACUAAUAACCUAUUUGGAAAAUGCGGUAGAAGUUGACCCAGAGAGACCUGUUUUGGUAGAUAAAUAUCUCUCUGACGCCAUUGAGAUCGACGUUGAUACCCUUACUGAUUCCUAUGGAAAUGUGGUGAUUGGUGGAAUAAUGGAGCAUAUCGAACAAGCCGGUGUGCAUUCUGGUGACUCAGCAUGUAUGCUUCCAACACAAACCAUCCCAUCUUCUUGUUUGCAAACUAUCCGGCAAUGGACCACUAAGCUGGCGAAGAAGCUAAAUGUAUGUGGGCUGAUGAACUGCCAGUACGCAAUCACAACAUCUGGGGAUGUUUUCUUGCUUGAAGCCAAUCCCCGAGCUUCCCGUACUGUCCCUUUUGUCUCAAAAGCCAUUGGGCACCCUCUUGCCAAGUAUGCAGCGCUGGUCAUGUCGGGCAAAUCUCUCAAAGAUCUUAACUUUGAAAAAGAAGUCAUCCCUAAACAUGUCUCUGUCAAAGAAGCUGUUUUCCCGUUUGAGAAGUUCCAAGGAUGCGAUGUGAUACUCGGGCCAGAGAUGAGAAGCACAGGAGAAGUGAUGAGCAUCAGUUCGGAAUUCUCAAGCGCGUUUGCAAUGGCUCAGAUCGCUGCAGGUCAAAAACUACCGUUAACCGGCACAGUCUUCCUCAGCUUAAACGAUAUGACAAAAACUCACCUGGAGAAAAUCGCGGUGUCUUUCCUCG
rnacentral:lncRNA from 1 species